AUUGAACGCUGGCGGCAUGCUUUACACAUGCAAGUCGAACGGCAGCGCGGGCUUCGGCCUGGCGGCGAGUGGCGAACGGGUGAGUAAUGCAUCGGAACGUGCCCAGUAGUGGGGGAUAGCCCGGCGAAAGCCGGAUUAAUACCGCAUACGACCUGAGGGUGAAAGCGGGGGACCGAAAGGCCUCGCGCUAUUGGAGCGGCCGAUGUCGGAUUAGCUAGUUGGUGGGGUAAAGGCUUACCAAGGCGACGAUCCGUAGCUGGUCUGAGAGGACGACCAGCCACACUGGGACUGAGACACGGCCCAGACUCCUACGGGAGGCAGCAGUGGGGAAUUUUGGACAAUGGGGGCAACCCUGAUCCAGCCAUGCCGCGUGCGGGAAGAAGGCCUUCGGGUUGGAAACCGCUUUUGUUCGGGAAGAAAUCCUCUGGGCUAAUACCCCGGGGGGAUGACGGUACCGGAAGAAUAAGCACCGGCUAACUACG
rnacentral:rRNA from 1 species